rnacentral:rRNA from 1 species
UCCAGACUCCUACGGGAGGCAGCAGUGGGGAAUAUUGCACAAUGGGGGAAACCCUGAUGCAGCGACGCCGCGUGAGCGAUGAAGUAUUUCGGUAUGUAAAGCUCUAUCAGCAGGGAAGAAAAUGACGGUACCUGACUAAGAAGCCCCGGCUAACUACGUGUCAGCAGCCGCGGUAAUACGUAGGGAGCAAGCGUUGUCCGGAAUUACUGGGCGUAAAGGGAGCGUAGACGGCGGCGCAAGUCCGGAGUGAAAGCCCACGGCCCAACCGUGGGACUGCUCUGGAAACUGUGCGGCUUGAGUGCGGGAGGGGCAGGCGGAAUUCCUAGUGUAGCGGUGAAAUGCGUAGAUAUUAGGAGGAACACCGGCGGCGAAGGCGGCCUGCUGGACCGUAACUGACGUUGAGGCUCGAAAGCGUGGGGAGCAAACAGGAUUAGAUACCCGCGUAAC